UUCUCGUUGAGGCCGGUUGGAGGAAUGGGUACAAUUUAAACCCGUUAACGAGGAUCUAUGAGAGGGCAAGUCUGGUGCCAGCAGCCGCGGUAAUUCCAGCUCUCAAAGUGUAUAUCGUCAUUGCUGCGGUUAAAAAGCUCGUAGUUGGAUCUGCGCUUGAGGACUCGGUCCACCCGUUGGGUGAGAACUGGGCUCCUCGGCUAGAAUAUGUUGGUUUUCCCUGCGUUGCCUUCACCGGUCGCGUAGGGUGGCUGACGAGUUUACUUUGAAAAAAUUAGAGUGCUUCAAGCGGGCAUUUAGUCUGAAUAUUUGUGCAUGGAAUAAUAGAAUAGGAUUUCGGUUCUAUUUUGUUGGUUUUCUGAACUGAGAUAAUGGUUAAGAGGGACAGACGGGGGCAUUCGUAUCGCUGCGUGAGAGGUGAAAUUCUUGGACCGUAGCGAGACGCCCGACUGCGAAAGCAUUUGCCAAGAAUGUCUUCAUUAAUCAAGAACGAAAGUCAGAGGUUCGAAGGCGAUCAGAUACCGCCCUAGUUCUGACCGUAAACGAUACCAACUAGCGUUCCGUCGCUGGCAAACACGCCUUGACGGGCAGCUUCCCGGAAACGAAAGUUUUUCGGUUCCGGGGGAAGUAUGGUUGCAAAGCUGAAACUUAAAGAAAUUGACGGAAGGGCACCACCAGGAGUGGAGCCUGCGGCUUAAUUUGACUCAACACGGGAAAACUCACCUGGCCCGGACACCGUGAGGAUUGACAGAUUGAGAGCUCUUUCUUGAUUCGGUGGUUGGUGGUGCAUGGCCGUUCUUAGUAGGGGGAGUGAU
rnacentral:rRNA from 1 species